rnacentral:rRNA from 1 species
AGCAGUAGCCACGGUAAUACGGAGGGAGCUAGCGUUGUUCGGAAUCACUGGGCGUAAAGCGCACGUAGGCGGCUAUUUAAGUCAGGGGUGAAAGCCCGGGGCUCAACCCCGGAACUGCCUUUGAAACUAGAUAGCUUGAAUCUUGGAGAGGCGAGUGGAAUUCCGAGUGUAGAGGUGAAAUUCGUAGAUAUUCGGAAGAACACCAGUGGCGAAGGCGACUCGCUGGACAAGUAUUGACGCUGAGGUGCGAAAGCGUGGGGAGCAAACAGGAUUAGAUACCCCUGUAGUCCCUGUCUCUUAUAC